UGCAGUCGAACGGAUCCUUCGGGAUUAGUGGCAGACGGGUGAGUAACGCGUGGGAAGCUACCUUGUGGUAGGGGACAACAGUUGGAAACGACUGCUAAUACCCUAUGAGCCCUAUGGGGGAAAGAUUUAUCGCCAUGAGAUGUGCCCGCGUUAGAUUAGCUAGUUGGUAAGGUAAUGGCUUACCAAGGCGACGAUCUAUAGCUGGUCUGAGAGGAUGAUCAGCCACACUGGGACUGAGACACGGCCCAGACUCCUACGGGAGGCAGCAGUGGGGAAUAUUGGACAAUGGGGGCAACCCUGAUCCAGCCAUGCCGCGUGUGUGAUGACGGCCUUAGGGUUGUAAAGCACUUUCAGCAGUGAAGAUAAUGACAUUAACUGCAGAAGAAGCCCCGGCUAACUUCGUGCCAGCAGCCGCGGUAAUACGAAGGGGGCUAGCGUUGUUCGGAAUCACUGGGCGUAAAGAGUACGUAGGCGGACUGAUAAGUUAGGGGUGAAAUCCCAAGGCUCAACCUUGGAACUGCCUUUGAUACUGUCAGUCUUGAGAUCGAGAGAGGUGAGUGGAACUCCGAGUGUAGAGGUGAAAUUCGUAGAUAUUCGGAAGAACACCAGUGGCGAAGGCGGCUCACUGGCUCGAUACUGACGCUGAGGUACGAAAGCGUGGGGAGCAAACAGGAUUNNNUACCCUGGUAGUCCANGCCGUAAA
rnacentral:rRNA from 1 species